AUAAGGUACUCGUAGUAAUAGUCUGUUGGGUCUACUGCGCUUAGAUGAAGACACUACAUUAUGUAUUAGUGUUGUGUUCACCAUGUAAGCGCUACAGAAAUGACUGCUCAAAGUGCAGUGU